GAGCCCUGGCCGGCGUGCCCGCGCCCGCCACGGUGGAGCACAGGCCGCUGCCCAAGGACUACAUGAUGGAGUCGGUGCUGGUGACCCUCUUCUGCUGCCUGCUCACCGGGCUCCUCGCCAUCGUCUACUCCCACGAGACCCGCUCGGCCCUGAGCCGGGGAGACCUGGCCCAGGCAGAGGAGGCCUCCCGCAAGGCCCGCUCCCUCGUGCUGUUCAGCCUGCUCUUCGGGGUCUUCGUGUCCACCAGCUGGGUCAUCUACGUGCUGGUGGCCCUCUACCUCCCGUGAGGCUGGGGGCUGCUUCGGGGACGUCAGGAUGCCCGACACCCACCCUGCCAGACUGCUGUGGACUGUGAUCCCUGCUGGGGCCAUCUGUUGCCUACAGAGGGGACCCGGGGGCAGGAGCGGGAGGGAUUGGCGCACUCAGCACACCCGUGGCUGCCUCAGCCCUGAGGGGCAGUGUUCUAAUCUGCAGUGGUCUCAGGGCCCAGGCCCAGCUGAGGAAUGGGGGCCCCGGAAGCCCCAUUUCUUUGGUGCCUCCUCCUGAGGUCUUCCUGGGACUGCUGGCCGGCCCGAGGCCCCUGCCUUCACCUUACCCCCAGGAGACCAUCAGAGGGACCAGAAGUCUGUGUCCUCAGCGCCAUCGGGGUGGGGGAGGGGCACUGCACUCCUGGCCUCCUUGCUGGGUUGGUCAGGUCGCAGGGCACAGCUGCGGGUUCCGGUUCCCAUGGGGCUGGUGGGCGUGGCCUCCUCCCUCCGUAGCUCCUGGCUGGUUGGUCAGGGCCCUGCCUCUCACCCGCUGUGUCCAGAAACCAAAGCCAUGUGUCUGAUUCCUCAUCUGCAAAGUGGGGGCAACAGCUGGGCCCCCACACCUCCCCCUUUGACUCACUAGAAGGGGGCACUGUGACCUACAGUAACUUCCUUGGCUGGUCCAGUCCUGGCCUUCAGAGCUCCUCGCUGCUCAAGGGAGUGGGCUUCCCUCCUCUGUAAGGGGCCGUGGCAUGGCCUGCCCUGGACCCCUGGGCGGACCAGGGAGGGGACCCGUGGGUGCUCAGCACAGUGCCGGGCUCAGGUGCUCUUGGUGGUGAUGGUGGCGGUUCCAUAGGGUCUUCCACAGCCCGAGGGGAGGGGAGGGCAGGGCCUGAGGGUCUCACCGUGAGUAGCAGGGCAGCCGGGCACCUCCCACUCAGUAGAUGGGAGGCCACUCACUGAUGGGCACGCUCCUGCAAGGGCCCAGAGCUUUCACCAGAUUCUCAAGGGGCCUGUGACUCAAGAUGACAAACCAUCUGCACGGAGAGGAGGGAGGCCCCGCUGGGCCAGAGAAGACUGGCAGCUCGCGUUCAAUCGCCUGCUUUCUACACCUCUGGGUGCUGCCCACAGCCCUGGCUCCUGGCUCCUGGCUCCUGUCACCGGGUGGAGGCAGACGCCUGACUCAGCCCUGGAGAUGCUGGGAGCCUUGGGCCAGGGCGUCGGCAAUGCGCACAGCUGGCUGGGGGCUGGGCCAGUCGGCAUGUCAGUCACCCUCAUGCAAACGGCCCAGAAGAGGAGAAGGAACAGUGCAGAGGACUUGCAGAACCCACAGCAACAGCUGUUCAUACUGAACUAAGUAAACUCCAAGGAAAGAAGUCCCUGGACCGUGCCCAGCUCUGCGGGUACGAAACGCGGGCAUCUUGCAGAGGGCAGGCUCGGAGUCAGGACGUGGGAGCGGAGAGUCCGCAUCUCUGAUGAGCUCCCAGUGAAGCAGAAGCUAAGGAGCCGACUGGAAACGGCACAUUAAAUGGGGAUUAAAACCAUUAAAAACCAUUCUGCAGGAGCAAUCCAUGGAGGCCCCUAGUGUCUCUAUUAUUCAACACUGUGUUAAGGUUCUAGCUAAUGUAAAAAACAACAAAGUGAAAUUUGUAGUAUGAAACUUGCAGUCUGUCUGUCAAAACAGACAAAACGAUUUUCUAGCUGUAAUAUCCAAGAAUCAAAGAAAAAAUUAGAAUAACUCAGUAAAAUAGUUGGAUACAAAAUAAAUGUGAUAGUCAUUAGCAAUAAUCAGUUAAAAUGGAAAAAAUUUUGAAAAAUUCCACUCACAGUAGUGAUAAAACAGUAAAAUCUAGAAAUAACUUUGACAAGAAUGAUUUGGGCCCAAGUGAAGAAAAUAAUUCUUAAUUAUAUAUAUAACUUUAUAUAUACAGCAGGUCCCCCCCAAAUGCAUAUACACUAAUAGUUUUGAAAAUGAAAUGUAUUUUAAUAAACUGCCUUUAUAAUUAUUCAAAGUGUGUGUGUACAUUUUGGGGGGACACCCUAUAUAUAUAAAAUUGAACAAAAUAUCUGGAUAGGAAGAUGUAUAAGAAUAUGUAGCAUUCUUAGAGAUUUAAUGAAAUCCCAACAAGAAAACCGUUUUUCUUGUUUUAAAACUAUAACAAGUUUUUAAAAAUAGAAAGGAAAUGUGUAAAAACUUACAAUUGUUUAGAGAAUUGAAUGAGGGGACUGUUUUCCCUGGCUAUUAAAGCUUAUCAUAGAGCUACAAUACCUAAGACAGCACGGCCAACAGAACAUCCAGAAAACGUCCCCAGUGUGUGUGGGGAGUUACUACCUGAUCAAAACGGCCUUUUAACUGAGUGGGUCAAGGAGGACUCAGAAUAAGCAGUUGGCUAUGUGGUUGGAAAAAAUUCUUCUCAAAUUGUAUGGAAAAGUGAACUGCAGCUGGAUUACAGAGCUAAGAGUCUAGGAGUCCCACACACAGGAGAGAGCCCGGGAGGGUGCUGUGUAACCAGGGAGCUGGGGAGGCCCUGGGAAUCUGGAAAGCCACAGAGGGAGGGGCCGAGAGAUCCGGUCCCACAGAAGCAGAGGUCCUGGCCAGGCUGGGGACAGAUCAGGAAGGCUGCCGCCUCCCUGUGGUGGGAAGUACACUGUGGUGUCUGCCUGUCGAUAAGGUAUGUGCCCUAGACUUACAUUCGCGCAUGUGCAAAGGACAGUGUCUGAAAGGAAGUUGCAAACUGCUGGCAGUGGCUGCCCGGGGACCAGGAGCGGGGGCGCCACGCAUGGCUGAACCUGACGAUGGGAUUCAUACGUCGUGUCAUUAAAAAUGAAGAAAAUGCGCUGCCUUUGGCCUCAGCAGGCCCAGUUUUAGGGCUCGCCGUGGUGGAGGAGACUGUCUUCCGGAGGCUCGGGGCCAGUGUGGAGACGGACGGCGUCAUGAGUGACUGUGCUGAUGCGCCCUGGAGGGAGCGGCUGGGCAAAUGGAACAUGUGCAGUGAGAGAGAACGCUGGCUUCGGGGUGAAAUGUCUGCGGCCAGCUGGGGUGGCACCGUGGUGCUUGCCGAGUGCUGAGGAAGCUUCCCGAGGAAGCCGUGGCGCUAUCACCUCAGCCCAGGGAGAGGCUGCGCUCCCACCCACCAUGGAGGGCCUUCCAGUCGCUCUCGCUCUCCACCCUGGUGUUGCCGUGGCGUGCGGUUCAGCAGCUCUGGGGUUGAGGCUGUGGCGGCGGCUCAGCGUGGCUCCGAUGACUGACGACGUGGAGCCUGUUACCAGCUCUUCAGAGUCUCUGUAUGACGUCCCUGCUCAAGCUGGUGCCCUUUUUUAAAGUCUGGCCAUGGAGGUGGUUCUGAGUGUCCUUCCUUUUAUCUGCUCAUCGCAUUCAGGGGCGGCAGGGCCGCGCUGUGAAAAUUUGUAAGCUCUGGCGGUAGCUCAGCUGGCACAGUUCCCUUCUCAUUCACACGAAGUCCAGUGUGGGUGGUGGGCGGCCAGUCUGGGCUCCUUCACGUGGGACUCUGCGUGUCAACCCCUGGAGUCUGCACGGCCGGGAGAGGCACACCCACUCAUUUUGUUCUUUAGACUCUGAGCAUCAGUGAGAUCACAUGGCAUUUGUCUCUCUGGCUUCCUUCACUCAGCACCACACCCUCUAGGCCCCGGCAUGCUGUCACAAUGGGAAGACUGCAUUCUUUUGGGGGCUGAGUGGUACAUGCCAUUCUAUACACGCACCAGGGCUGUUACCCACUCGUCCUUUGAUGGGCACAUGGGUUGCGUUUAGACCCUGGCUAUUGUAAAUAAUGCUGCAGCGGACAGUGUUUGGGGUUUCUUCAAAUAUUUACCCAGGCGGGAUCGGUGGGUCAAAGGCAGUUCCAUUUGUAACUUUUCGAGGGGACAUCCAUCCACUUCUGCAAAACCGCCAACAGCAGCCAGCAGGCCCGGGACUGGGAUGAAUGACAGGGCCCUUAGUGAGGGCACAUGGGUGCCCAAGCACACGGCCAACUUACGAAUGCCACUCUGUCCUUGCAUUGCGGAUGCGUCCCAUGGUCAGGGAGGACUGGUUUUUAGUGCCGGGCUGGGGCUAAGGUUACUCUGGCGCUUCUGCGUCAGCAUUCGCCUGUAAUUUUCUUGCGCUGUCCUUGUCUGGAUUGGAUGCCAAGGUUGUAUUCUACUCCUGAAAUGAGGCAAGCAGUGUUUCCCUUGCUGUUCUCGGGGCUCGUGUGAGACGGACGCUCCUGUCUGUCUGACAUAAAGUACCUGUUACGCCCGUCAGGAUUUCAAACCAGAUUUAACUGUGUAAUGUCAAGUACCUCUUCUUUGUAGCACUUACCAUGGUUGUGAUAUUUCCCUCGUGUGACAUUAAAUGAAGAGGAUGAAUGAGGUAAA